GGUUUCCCCGGAGGCAUGAUCUGCCCCUUCCAUGGCGUGUUUUGCCCGGUAGCCAGAUCUGGCUCGCUCGAGCGAAUCCAUGAAAAAGGGCUCAUUGGCGGCGUGGGUACCUGAUCUGGUACGAGGUCACAUCGAGAGCACUGUGUGGCUCGCCAUCCCGGCCAGCGACGAAACCAAGCUCAAGGUCCGCUUCUUCGUGCCGCCCUUCCUCCCCGUCUUCCUAGUCACAGGCGACUACUGGGAGCUCCACGUUAACAGCGACUAUGUACACGUUCGUCGCACAGCCCUCCAUGAGAUCUUGUGCAGGCAGCCGCACUUGACGAGGUCGUGUGCAACGAACUGGUGGGGAGGGUCAAGAAGGAAGGGUACGACGUAAGGAAGCUCCGCAUGGUGGCGCACCGCGACACGCCGCUGCAGAGCGAACAGGGCCCGGGACAGCGGGCUGUUUCGAAAUUUAUGAAAGAGCAGCAAACUAUUAUUAUGUCCGGAUUUUUCUCCUUGUGUAAACUAUGUACAUAUGUUUAACUUGCCGUUCUUGUUGCAUUUUGGGACUAAAGAUGCGGGCCUGCCCAGGUGGUCUGGAAUUUGGAUGUUGAACACAGCAGCCUUGAUCAUCGCCAAGAUUCAAACAAAGAAUGUCAAGAUGGGAACACAGUUGCGAUUAAGAAAAUCAGGCUAGGGAAGUACAAGGAAGGUGUGAACUUCACUGCAUUGAAGCAAAUUAAACUGCUCAAGGAGCUGAAAGAUCAUAAUAUUAUAGACCUAAUUCAUGGAGACUGACUUGGAAGCUGCCAUAUGAGAUAUGAACAUUGUAUUUUCUCCAGCUGACACAGAAUCAUAUGUUCAGAUGAUGUUGAAAGGUCUAGCUUCCUGCCAUAAGAAAUGGGUGCUACAGAGGGGUAAACCAAAUAAUUUACUCAUCGGAGCUGAUGGGCAGCUCAAGAUUGCUGACUUUGGCCUGGCACUCAGCAUGCUCUUUUCGUUAGAAUAUAUGGGUUUGGCUUAUUAUAUUUAAGCAAUUUUAAAUACAUUUUAAAGGCCUAACUAAAUGGAGGUAGGGGUGCAUUUUUAGUCCCACCUUACUAGUGGAGGUG